GACAACUAGAGUCAUGGCCACAAGCAGGCGGCUACUAGAGACCAAACGGCCAGAGGGAGAAAGAAAGUUACAAUCAGCAACUAUGCGAGAGAACUUCGCUCGACUCCCACUUUCACUAACUCUCUUUUCUUUGUAACAUUACCAUCUCUCUCUAUAUAUACUACUAUAACAUCGUGUACACACAUACCGGCCGAAACUAACUCUUUUUUACCUCGCAUGCUGUUCCAUUUACUAAUUAUACAUACCAAGCCGUCGUGGUUUUGGAUAUAUACAAAGUAACGAUACAUGACGAGGGAUUGCCAAGUAAAGAAAAAUGAGCAUUUUUGACACCUGCUUCUCUUCGCAUUCAAUCAAGGUUUUAAAUCUGUCAAAGAGACGAAUAAAAUAGACAUGACGAUGGCGCGCCAAGUAAAGAAAAAAAAAUAUGACCAUUUUCGAUGUCUGUUUUUCUUUGCUUUCAAAUCAAGGUUUUAAAUCUGCCCAAGCCGCUUAAGGCAUUUGUGCUGUGAAUAGAGGAGGCGCUAUUACUGAAUGAACUAUACAGAAAGCUUCACGCUCGAAGGAGGGGAAAUUCGACUCCAGAGACUCCGCUCCGGCAGUUCGAUGAGGAUCACUUGAACGAGCUCAUCAUCCACGAAGAGCUGCGCCAUUCCAUUAGGGUUUUUGGCUCAGGAGAUGCCCUCAGGAUACCGUCGCGUGUUACUUUCACUCGAUCAGUAAGGUCCAAAAAUUCAUUAUAUGAGUACCACACGUUCGGAGUGAAGAAAAAUUCCAGCACCCAUCUAUCGCCGCCUGUUUGUUCGCUGAACACUAAGCUGCUUGGAAAUAGACUUCUUUACUGCAUCGUGACUGGCGAUGAAAAGUGGUUUCUUUACGCUAAUAUGAAGCAGAGGAAAGAAUGGCUGAGACGUGACAAGCAAGCGA